GACGAACGCUGGCGGCGUGCUUAACACAUGCAAGUCGAACGGUAAGGCUCCAGCUUGCUGGGGUACACGAGUGGCGAACGGGUGAGUAACACGUGGGUGACCUGCCCUGCACUUCGGGAUAAGCCUGGGAAACUGGGUCUAAUACCGGAUAGGACCGCACCGUGAGGGUGUGGUGGAAAGUUUUUUCGGUGUGGGAUGGGCCCGCGGCCUAUCAGCUUGUUGGUGGGGUAAUGGCCUACCAAGGCGGCGACGGGUAGCCGGCCUGAGAGGGUGGACGGCCACAUUGGGACUGAGACACGGCCCAGACUCCUACGGGAGGCAGCAGUGGGGAAUAUUGCACAAUGGGCGGAAGCCUGAUGCAGCGACGCCGCGUGGGGGAUGACGGCCUUCGGGUUGUAAACUCCUUUCACCAUCGACGAAGGGUUUCUGACGGUAGAUGGAGAAGAAGCACCGGCUAACUACGUGCCAGCAGCCGCGGUAAUACGUAGGGUGCGAGCGUUGUCCGGAAUUACUGGGCGUAAAGAGCUCAUAGGUGGUUUGUCGCGUCGUCUGUGAAAUUCCGGGGCUUAACUCCGGGCGUGCAGGCGAUACGGGCAUAACUUGAGUACUGUAGGGGAGACCGGAAUUCCUGGUGUAGCGGUGAAAUGCGCAGAUAUCAGGAGGAACACCGGUGGCGAAGGCGGGUCUCUGGGCAGUAACUGACGCUGAGGAGCGAAAGCAUGGGGAGCGAACAGGAUUAGAUACCCUGGUAGUCCAUGCCGUAAACGGUGGGCGCUAGGUGUGGGUUUCCUUCCACGGGAUCCGUGCCGUAGCUAACGCAUUAAGCGCCCCGCCUGGGGAGUACGGCCGCAAGGCUAAAACUCAAAGGAAUUGACGGGGGCCCGCACAAGCGGCGGAGCAUGUGGAUUAAUUCGAUGCAACGCGAAGAACCUUACCUGGGCUUGACAUAUACAGGAUCGCGCCAGAGAUGGUGUUUCCCUUGUGGCUUGUAUACAGGUGGUGCAUGGUUGUCGUCAGCUCGUGUCGUGAGAUGUUGGGUUAAGUCCCGCAACGAGCGCAACCCUUGUCUUAUGUUGCCAGCACGUUGUGGUGGGGACUCGUAAGAAACUGCCGGGGUUAACUCGGAGGAAGGUGGGGAUGACGUCAAAUCAUCAUGCCCCUUAUGUCCAGGGCUUCACACAUGCUACAAUGGUCGGUACAGUGGGUUGCCAGUCCGUGAGGGCGAGCUAAUCCCGCAAAGCCGGUCUCAGUUCGGAUCGGGGUCUGCAACUCGACCCCGUGAAGUCGGAGUCGCUAGUAAUCGCAGAUCAGCAACGCUGCGGUGAAUACGUUCCCGGGCCU
rnacentral:rRNA from 1 species